rnacentral:tRNA from 1 species
GCCUUCGUGGUGUAAUGGCUAGCACACUCGGCGCAUAUCCCAGAGGUCCGAGGUUCGAGUCCCGGCGAGGGCC